CCGCCGCUUGUUGUGCUCCUCCACGAUCAAAUUGCGAUAGGGCUUCAGGUCCACCAUGGUGGCAUCCGGCGAGCAGGUCGCAUGGAACUCCUAAGGCUAUGUGCACCGUGUUAUCAGGACACAGUUCGGGAUCGCACCAGGACAACGGCUGGGAGAUCGCCACCCCCAAGAUCAUCAGCAGACAACCGAUCGUCAUACAUCUUCCGGACUCCAUGAUCUCGCUGAAGGUUCAAGUGCAAGUGCAAGUCCUGACCACCGGCAAGGCGAUAUUUAUAACGAAAUUUUGAUGUGCAGGUGGGUGUUUACCAAUCCCGAUACCAAUCCCGACUUUGAUUCCAAAUCCGACGAUCCGAUCCCGAUCACGAUCUCAAUCCGAAAGCGAAACCGCAGCUUGAGACAGGUCAAGCGACGAUUUAUGAAUCAUUUCCAUUUUCGGGGGCCGUUGUCUUUGUCUCAAUUACAGUCUCUGUGUUUUCAUCUUCAAGAGCGUUCACACCGAGAGCUUCAACCCGCACGAGUUCUAGGAAAAGUCGAGCUAUAAACCCCUAAGGUGCCCCGAGGGAGGAGUCUCCACUUUCUUGGCGAGCUUGCCAAGCAGCUACUCAUCCAAAACCAGACUACUUUAGUGGAUCGUUAAUCCCGGAGUCGAGCUUUGGUUUCCCGCAUCCGGAAAAUGGCUUGUGCGUGGUCCACCCCGCAAAUCCUUGUCCUCCAAGCCCCGACGACGGAGUGCAGCCCUUGAGCCAGUUGGACGUGGGUGGCUCUUCUCUGGAAGCCGCUGACAUAUGGAUGUACGCGCUAAUGGCCAAACCGAUGACAAUGGAUGCUCCCACGCAUCCGCCGGGUGAUUCAUGCGUUUCCACUCGCUUAUGCACACUUUGGAGUCGCAUCCUUGGAUGCUCAUUUGCACUGGGAAAAACUAGCAGUAUUUUAAUAUUAUUAAAAUUUUAAGCUGCUUGGAAACUUCAUAAAAAAAAUAUUUUAUAAAAAUUGUGGAGUUUUCGAGAAAUCUAUGUUAUCCUUAGAAAUAAAUUG